rnacentral:lncRNA from 1 species
UGGGAAAAGCCCAUCGGGGACCUGGUGGCCCCGUGGGGGUGGCACCAAUGGAAAACAAUCGGAGCUUCCCAGAGGAGCUGUUUGCAGACAACGCUGCAAAACCGCUUCCCCGCACCGCUCCUUGUAGCCAGCAAAUGUAAGGGCAGCCUAAAGCCAGAGGGCUGGGAUAAAAGUUGGAUUUCUCACUGUCCAGAGAAUGCUGCAGGUCCCCAAGCACAGGAUCACCUUCAUUUCCUGCAGGACUGCAUCCCCUCACCUGCUCCUCCAAGGACAAGCUCCCCUCAGCCCCGCCAGUCACUGGAUCUCCUCAGAAAACUCUGAGACAAGCUUCCCUCAUCCUCCCCAGCACAGGCUCCCCUCAGCCCCCCAAACACGGGAUCUCCAAGACUGGAUCCCUUCAGCUCCCUCCGGCCAAGCCCCCUCCAGCCCCUCCUCAGCGGGCACAGCCGGGGGAGCCGGGGUGCAGCAGCAGCCUCUGUUCCCCCGCCCCUCUCGCCCUGCCUGCUGCGUGCUGCAGCCCGCCUUCCCCCCGCC